GGCUGGGGCGGCACGUCUGUUAAGCGGCAACACGGGUGUCCCAAGGGGGACUCACGGACAACAGAAAUCUCCAGUAGAACAAAAGGGUAAAAGUCCCCUUAGAUUUCUGUCCAAUGG
rnacentral:ncRNA from 1 species